CACACCGCCCGUCACACCAUGAGAGUUGGCAAUACCCGAAGUCCGUGAGCUAACCAUUUGGAGGCAGCGGCCGAAGGUAGGGUCAGCGAUUGGGGUG
rnacentral:rRNA from 1 species